GAUGAACGCUGGCGGCGUGCCUAAUACAUGCAAGUCGAGCGAACAGACGAGGAGCUUGCUCCUCUGACGUUAGCGGCGGACGGGUGAGUAACACGUGGAUAACCUACCUAUAAGACUGGGAUGACUUCGGGAAACCGGAGCUAAUACCGGAUAAUAUAUUGAACCGCAUGGUUCAAUAGUGAAAGACGGUUUUGCUGUCACUUAUAGAUGGAUCCGCGCCGCAUUAGCUAGUCGGUAAGGUAACGGCUUACCAAGGCAACGAUGCGUAGCCGACCUGAGAGGGUGAUCGGCCACACUGGAACUGAGACACGGUCCAGACUCCUACGGGAGGCAGCAGUAGGGAAUCUUCCGCAAUGGGCGAAAGCUUGACGGAGCAACGCCGCGUGAGUGAUGAAGGUCUUCGGAUCGUAAAACUCUGUUAUUAGGGAAGAACAAAUGUGUAAGUAACUAUGCACGUCUUGACGGUACCUAAUCAGAAAGCCACGGCUAACUACGUG
rnacentral:rRNA from 1 species